rnacentral:lncRNA from 1 species
UACUUUUUUUUUUUUUUUUGCUUUAUUUAUUUAUUUAUUUAGGGCCACCCCUGUGGCAUGUGGAAUUUCCUAGGCUAGGGGUCCAAUCAGAGCUUCAGCUGCCAGCCUACGCCACAGGCACAGCAAGGCCAGAUCCAAGUUGUGUCUGUGACCUACACCACAGCUCACAGCCAUGCCUUAUCCUUAACCCACUGAGUGGGGCCAGGGAUCGAACCCGCAUCCUCAUGGAUACUAGUCAGGUUUGUAACCCGCUGAGUCGAUGGGUUACUCCUGAAGAGCCAGUUUAUAUAUGAUUUUUGGCUAGGAAAUAUAUGCAGUCAAGCAUACGAUGUGAUUAAAGAUGACUGCUAAUCACAAAAACAGAUAUAGAUAUAAAUAUAAAUAUAAAUAUAAACAGGUAAUGGUUUUGGUCCUUUUCUGUGUAUGGGAAGAUGCAAGAAUCUGGGUUUGCUAAAAUUCUUCCUGAGAUAUUUAUCUAACUAUCCAAGAAGAAGCCAGCUCCUCUGGAAACCCUGGACCUCCUCUUCUAUGAUUCUAUCUUGCUUUGUUUCCUUUAAACUUUCCUGUUGUCAGAUAUUCCUGCCAGGAAUUGAAGCCAUGCCUCUAAUCACAUGUACAUCAUUAUAACCUAGAUGAAAUAAAUGGUAAUAGUUUAAAGUUACAGACAAAAAAGCAGAGGAUAAAAGCAUAGGCUCUGGGGAGUUCCCAUUGUGGCUCAGUGGUGGUGAACCGGACUAGUAUCUGGAUGCGGGUUUGAUCCCUGGUCUUGCUCAGUGGGUUAAAGGAUCCAGCAUUGCUGUGAGCUGUGGUGUAGGUCGCAGAUGUGGCUUGGGUCCUGUGUUGCUGUGGCUGUGGUGUAGGCCAGGAGCUAUAGCUCUGAUUUGAUCCCUAGCCUAGGAACUUCCACAUGCAGCAGGUGUGGCCCUAAAAAGCCAAAAAGAAGAAAAAAAAAAAAGCUUAGGCUCUGGAAUCAGAAGGCAUUGUUUUCAAAUUCAGGCCUCAACUUAGGUGUCUUGAGAAAAACACCGAUGAUAACAAAGGCACCAGCCUAUCAUGUGGUGGGUGUUUACUCUGUGCUAAGCAUUGUAGCUAAGAACUUUUCACAUGGUGUCUCAUUUAUCACUGGAAAUUCAAGGGGUUCCAAUAAAUACCCACAUUGUUAGAUGAGGAAUCUGAGGCUUUUUGGAUUCACUACUUAUAAAAUGUAUGACUUUGGGCAAGUUACUUAACAUCUCUCUAAAAGCCUCAUCUACAAAUGGUAAAAUAUCAAUUUUUUGUAGCUAUUGACAUAAUUGAGUUGAUGCCUAUAAAGGGCUUGGACUAUAGCAAGCUGAGUAAGUGUGAUCUGCUAAUAAUAUUAUUACCCUCUGCUCUCCCAUAUGAAUGAAUAUGAAUUCUGCUUAUAUGAUAUGAAGAAACCAAAAAAUUACCUGGUCAAUUAGUUCCGAGAGAAAUUGAAUUGUGACUGACCCAAGUCUUUGUUUUCGUGAUAGCUGACAACAGCCACUUCAAUUUGAGUUAUGAAAGCAGAAUUCAAAAUAUAAACAUGUGAGAUUGUCAGGCUGAAGAUUAGCAAAUAAUCUGGGGUCACUUUAAAAAUAUCACUAAUGUCCCUGGAUCACCUAGAGAUUAUUAGGCAAAUAGAUGUCCCUCCCCAGCUGCUUCCUCACACUAUCUCCAUAUCUACCACCUGUUUGAGGAAAUUCCAGGUGCCUCAGUCCUCAGCCCUUUUCGUAGCCUUUUUUUUUUUUUUUUUUUUUUGCGUUUUCAGGGCUGCACCUGUGGCACAUGGAAAUUCCCAGACUAGGGGUUGAAUUGGAGCUACAGCCGCUGGCCUACACCACAACUCAUGGCAAUGCUGGAUCCUUAAACCACUGAGUGAGGCCAGGGAUCAAACCCACAUCCUCAUGAAUCCUAGUUGGGUUCGUUAACCACUGAGCCAUGAAGGGAACUCCCUGCAGCCUGUCCUAUGUUACAGCAACUCAAGGUCACCGUCCCCAUUGAGCACCACACAAAUGCUGCUUCUCUUGCUUAGUGAAGCUUUAGUUUAUCACCCUGGGCAUCUAUGGUCUCACAACUCCAGAGGGAAGAGUCAACGCCGUCACUAUUCAUUUCCAUUUAUCAUGACACCGCAAAGAGAUGUCCUUCACAAUGACACCAUCUCCUUCUAAUGCUUUAUACAAGUGUAUUCUUUUCUCUCAUUAAUGACUUGACUGAUGAUGAUAAAAGACGCCUUGAAAUUCAGCUUGCCUGUCUGUGGUCCUGCUUUCUGGUCAUUCCAAUUAUGUCCAGAUGUUUCCCUGCCCUCUCCACCUCCAGACACUCACAAGGGAAAUUGAAAGCAUUCCUUAUGUUACUUGUUGUGGAUGGUGUGCUAUUUACAGAAAAGACGAUGCAUUCCAUGUUUUCAUGUGAUUUCUGGUUCCGUGUUCCUAAAUUUAAUCAUUAAAAAAAUCAAGGGGUUCCCAUUGUGCUUCAGUGUUAAAAAAUCCAACUAGUAACCAUGAGGACGUUGGUUCGAUGUCUGGCCUCACUCAGUGAGUGAAGGAUCUAGCAUUGCCGUGAGCUGUGGUGUAGUUCACAGACACAGCUCAGAUCUGGGGUUGCUGUGGCUGUAGUGUAUGUCAGCAGCAUAGCUCUGAUUCAACCCCUUGUCUAGGAACAUCCGUAUGCUGUGGAUGUGGCCCUAAAAAAAAAAAAAAAAAAAAAAAAAUCAAAUAGUAUUGGCCAACACAUAUGUCAAAAGUGGCUUUCCCUGAUCAAUAAAUGGCAAAAAUAAGCUCAAGUUCUCUGACCUUUCUAGCGAUAUAUACAUAAAAUAUUUUCUUUAAUAAUUAAAGAGAAAACUUAAAAACUCCUCUUCUAACUGUGAUAAGGAGAGGCUGAAUUUACCUUUUUGUUUGAAACAACCAAAAAAAUAAAAAAUAAAUUAAAUAUACAAAACUUUGGUUUCCAAGAUAGUGGACCCCCAGCAACAAAAGUCAGUAAUCUCUGAGAAAUGGGAAACAAAUGAGGCAAAGUCAGGUUUGCCCCAGCUCACUACUUGAGAGUUUCUGGCUGUGUCUCAGGGAGCGGGAACCCAACCAAAAUCUUUGAGUAGAGAAUGGGAAGCCCGAAUUUUAGCAAGACCAGAUUUGGCAGGACAGAGUACCAGAGAGGAGAAAGAUGCACAGAGAGAGAACUUCAGAGAUUUGCAGAAGGUCCCCUAGAGUUUUUAGAUGGGUAUCAGCACACACAUUUGAGACCAGGGGAUUAACUACCAACAAGUAUUAGAAGGAAAAUUUACCAGAGUUCAUACAGGUCCGUGAAAAAUGCCCAUUCUCAUUAGCACAACUGAAAAAAACUCAUUAUUUAUAGGACACUGAGUACAGUAUUUAAAAAGUUCUUGACUGAGUAAUGGGGAAUAAUUAGCCAUAUCAUUAAUGGCUACUCUAGUCUAGUCCCACCUAACAAAUCUUAAGAGCAAGAUCUGAAAGGAUUAAACUGAAUCAGAGUAGCUUGUGUCCCCAAACGAAGCUAAGGAUAUUUAUAGAACACAAAGAUGACCAUUAUCCAACAAAGUAAAAUCUUCAAUACCUGGCCUUAAAUUAAAAAUUACUGUGGAUGCAAGGAAGCAGCAUAAUAUAUGAGGAUGCGGGUUUGAUCCCUGGCCUCACUCAGUGGGUUAAGGAUCCGAUGUUGCCAUGAGCUGUGGUGUAGGUCAGAGACACAACUUGGAUCUGGCGUUGCUGUGGCUGUGGCAUAGGCCGGUGGCAGCAACUCCGAUUAGAUCCCUAGCCUGAGAACCUGCGUAUACCGAGGGUGCAGCCCUGAAAAUAAAAAAAAAAUAAAUAAAUAAAUAAAAAGGAAAAGGAAAAGAAAAAUUAAUUAAAAGCAAUCCAGAAUUUGCACAGAUAUUAGAAUUAGCAAAUGUAUGUUUUAAAUUAUUAUACCUAUUUUCCUUACAUUCCAAAAAGUUCAGACAUGAAAAGACAUGUAGAACACAUAUCAAAUUUCUAGAUGCGAAAUCUGCAAUGUAUGGGAUUAAAAAUACACAGGAUAAAAUUAGCAGCAGAUAAUUGUGGAAGAAAAAAAACUGGUGAACCUGAAGACACAACAGUAGAUCCAAAGUGAAACACAGAGAGAAAAAAUAAAUAAAAAGAUGCUCAAGNUAGCACUUUAAAUAUCUCUUGCCAUUCAGAAGGUGAAUUUUAAGCAAAAAAUUUGAAGGAGGCAGGGACGUAGGCAAAAGAUAUCCAGCAUAAGACGAUCCCAGGCAUUACUGGAAAGGAUGGGUCCAGAUGGUGAUUACAAAGUAUUUAACAGAGUAUUUAGCAUUUAAUAAGCACUCAAGAAAUUAGAGUUAUCACUGCUGCUGUUGUUGUUGUCCAUGUCAAACACUGAGAGACUGGGAUGGAAGAGGAGGAAGGAAACCCAAGUGCAGGGAACUUCCUUUUGCCAGACACUCAUCUGGGCAUUUCCAUAUAUAUUAUCUCACAUAAUAUUCAAAAUUACCCUGUACUAUGGAUAACCCUAUUUUAGAAAGAAGAAGACAGAGACUUUGGGGAGUUGGGAUACUUAUGCAACAUCAUCAAAAGACUAAGAUAGAGAGGUAAUUUGACCUCAGGGUUCUUGGACUUCAAAUCUUAAACACUUUCUGUUCAUUCACCACAUGUGGAAUUUGGGGGAUUGGGGAAUUUAAAUGUUCCAAGCUCUCACACAUCUCUGUUUUGCCCAGGAGUUGCAAACUUAAAUGGAGCUACCAUGAUAAAGUGAAGCAAGGAAGGAGAAAAGGCGGGUCGGUAACCAGUAUUCAGACCUGAGUUAAUAUUGACACGAUGGAAGAUAGGCCACUGUUGCUUGGGCUCCUUUAUAAUUUUCCUAAGAGAAGUCAGAAAUCGAUGACAUUUUCUCAUUUUUAAAUUUUGCAUAAAAUUUCCUUAUUUUAAAACUGUCUAUAUGGGUCAUUCAAAAGAUGGUUAUGAUCCUCAAUAAAAGUCUGGAACCACCAAAACAACACAGGACAAUCUUUUAAAAAAUUAUCAUGAGGAGUUCCCGUCGUGGCGCAGUGGUUAACGAAUCCGACUAGGAACCAUGAGGUUGCGGGUUUGGUCCCUGCCCUUGCUCAGUGGGUUAACGAUCCGGCGUUGCCGUGAGUUGUGGUGUA